rnacentral:tRNA from 1 species
GCGGGAGUGGCGGAACUGGUAGACGCGAUGGCCCCAGGAGCCAUUGGCCCUUACACGGCCGUGGGGGUUCAAAUCCCCCCUUCCGCACUA